rnacentral:rRNA from 1 species
GACGAACGCUGGCGGCGUGCCUAACACAUGCAAGUCGAUCGAAUGAAGUUCCUUCGGGAACGGAUUUAGCGGCGGACGGGUGAGUAACACGUGGGCAACCUGCCUCAUAGAGGGGAAUAGCCUUCCGAAAGGGAGAUUAAUACCGCAUAAGAUUGUAGUACCGCAUGGUACAGCAAUUAAAGGAUUAAUCCGCUAUGAGAUGGGCCCGCGGCGCAUUAGCUAGUUGGUGAGGUAACGGCUCACCAAGGCGACGAUGCGUAGCCGACCUGAGAGGGCGAUCGGCCACAUUGGGACUGAGACACGGACCAGACUCCUACGGGAGGCAGCAGUGGGGAAUAUUGCACCAUGGGGGAAACCCUGAUGCAGCAACGCCGCGUGAGUGAUGACGGCCUUCGGGUUGUAAAGCUCUGUCUUCAGGGACGAUAAUGACGGUACCUGAGGAGGAAGCCACGGCUGACUACGUGCCAGCCGCCGCCGUAA